rnacentral:lncRNA from 1 species
AACUUCUACAAUGCUAUUGGUACCAAUUUUCGUACACGUUGUCGUAAUGUAUAAAGGCUUGCUUGAGAAUGCUCCGAGCACCUGGCUAUAGAAGGAAGAAUAGAAAUUACGAUAAUAAAAUCCUAAUUAUAAUAGAAUACUAACAAUGCUCUAAUUAUAAUAGAAUACUAACAAUACUCUAAUUAGACUAUAAUAAUAGUAAUCAAACGUAAUCAAAUUCAAAAAAACUCAAAGAAAUUUCAAACAAACAAUAAAAUUCUUAAAGAAAAAUUAGAAUGAUUACAAAUUUUACUCAAAUAUAUGUCAAUUCAACCUUAAUUUAAUUCUAGUAAAAACCCUAUUCAAUUUCACUCAACUUUAGACCAAACCUAAUUAAAUCUUAAACCCUAAUAAAUCCUAAAUUCUAAUUCAAAUCCUAAACAAAUCUUAAAUUAAACACUAUUCCAAAUCCUAAAUCCUAAACCAAACCCUAAUCCAACCCUAAAUCCUAAACCAAACCUUAAAUCAAAUCCUAACCAAACCUUAAUCCAAACCCUAAUCCAAACCCUAAAUCAAAUCAUAACCAAAUCCUAAAUCUUAAUCCAAAUCCUAAUCCAAACCCUAAUCCAAUCCUAAACUCUAAUCCAAAUCCUAAACCCUAAACCAAACCCUAAUCCAACCCUAAACUCUAAUCCAAAUCCUAAAUCCUAAACCAAACCUUAAAUCAAACCCUAACCAAACUCUAAUCCAAACUUUAAUCCAAACCCUAAAUCAAAUCCUAACCAAAUCCUAAAUCCUAAUCCAAAUCCUAAACCGAACCCUAGCCAAAUCCUAACCAAAUCCUAACCAAAUCCUAAAUCAAAUCUUAACCAAAUUCUAAAUCAAACCCUAACCAAACAAUAAACUCUAAUCCAAAUCCUAAAUCAAAUCCUAACCAAAUCCUAGUCCAAACUCUAAUACAAACCCUUAAAUCAAAUCCUAAC